CCAGAAAACCCACAACCCAGCCGGCCGCUUCGCCUCUCGUCCUCCGGCUCUCUCUCCGCGCGCGCGUCCCACCACCGGAGCCAUCCGCACGCGCUCUGGAACUAAUGGCGCCGCCCGCGCGCACACAGGCGACCGGAUUAGUGACCGCACGACGCGACCCACGAGCUGCCGCUGGGCCGGCGCCGCGGUACGUCCCGAAGAGAGGCCUGGUGCUGAAGCGGGCCUUCAAGGGCCUCUUCUCCUGGCUGCCGCGCCGCAGGCUCUGGGUGUGGCCGUCCCGGCUCGGCCUGAUCCGCCGCCGGGCCGCGCGCGCCGGAGGCGGCAAGGGCGCCGCCGCGUCCCGCGGCCUUGGCAGUGCGUGCAACAAAAUUAACGCGUGAUCUAUCAGGUUGAACCGGUUAAGACUUAAGAAGCUAAGCUCGAUCAGGCCGUUGUCAGAUCGAGGGUACCGGUGAACUCGGCUAGCUGGAUCGAGGUGGUCAACGAGUCAACUUAAUUAAUUAUCGUGGUUCCGAGGGUGUACGGGCCGGGGUGGCCGGGUGCCCGGGUGGUCGAUGAUCUGCGUGACUGCGUCCCCCUGCCUUGCAUGUGUUGGUGUCGUCAGUUCGUCUACUAGUCAACUUAUUGUUUCUUCAUUGGUUAUUAUUUCGUUCCUUUGUAUUAUAACUGGACUGGAAAUAUAGCUGGGUAUGUAUGUAUGUAUGUAUGUAUGUAUGUUGCAUAUGUACAAGAAGGGCGGUCGAUUUUGUUGCGUAUGCAUGUACGUGUGUGUGACAUUUUGGAACAAAAAAAUGUGCACGUUGUUGUGAAGAA